AUCCUGAGUAGCGCGGGACCAGAGAAAUCCUGUGUGAAUCUGCCGGUACCAUCCGGUAAGGCUAAAAUACUCAUUAGAUACCGAUAGUGAACCAGUACCGUAAGGGAAAGGUGAAAAGUACUCCGAACAGGAGAGUGAAAUAGUACCUGAAACCGUACACCUACAAGCGGUCGGAGUCUCUACGUAAGUAGAGAUGACGGCGUGCCUUUUGCAUAAUGAGCCUACGAGUUACUCCUCACUGGCAAGGUUAAGUUCUUCAAUAACGGAGCCGUAGCGAAAGCGAGUCCAAAUAGGGCGAAUAGUCAGUGGGGGUAGACGCGAAAACUUUGUGAUCUAUCCAUGGGGCAGGUUGAAGUUCCGUUAACCCGGAAUGGGAGGACCGAACCCAUUAACGUUGAAAAGUUAUGGGAUGACCUGUGGAUAGGGGUGAAAGGCC
rnacentral:rRNA from 1 species